rnacentral:ncRNA from 10 species
AAAGAUUGCAAUGUCCUUGACAAGGAUGAAAGAGGCCCUCGGCCUGAAAAUAUACAUACAGUUAAGGCAUAGCCACCUAUGAAGCAUCAAACUAUAGCUUUUA